GGCAGGAGAGCAAAUAGCUUGGCUGAGAGGUGAUUGCAAUUGUUCAGCAGCUGGGCAGGAGAGCAAACAGCUUUGAGGCUGCAGGAAAGAGGGCUGGGUGCAGUUGGGUCUGCCAGUUGACCGUCGGCAACGGUUAGGGGUUUUGGAUGACCGUAGGCAAAGGUUAGGUGUCAUGGACCCUGCCCCCGGACCCCCGGCCUGCUCCUGGACGAGGCCACUGCCAGGACCGGUCUACACCCGUGGACGAGAGGACCACUCAGUCAAUCCCAGGAUUUCACUAAUUUCCAGCUUAUAAGUGACACUUGCAUCGGUACGGAAGAUAUUCAUCGUCCUCGACGAACGGUUGA
rnacentral:lncRNA from 1 species